GUGGUUUUAAUGCUGCUUCUGCUUCAUAGGUGGGGAAACUGAAGCCAUCUGGGAUUCGAGUGCCAUAGAUGACACCGGAACUUAAACGCUGUGGCUCUGAAACCAGAAGGCACAACACGGCAGCCACUGGAGAAUUCCCAGCCACUGGAAAUACUUCAGUUUUAAACCUUCAGAGAGCCGCAGGACAAAAGUGAAGCAGAAAAGAAAUGACGGGCAGUCAUGGAGAAGUGGAGAGAAGAGCAGGCCUCGUUCAUCAGGAACUUCAACAACGCACAGGCUUGACUUCUGGAAAAUUCACCUGGUUGAAUGAUGUCACUGCUCUGGUUUCUGUCUGCUGUCUGGAUGUGGACAAACAUACCUUCAGUCAGGCCUUCAGCAGCUACAGCUGCCCCACCUCAACAAACUCCAGUGCUGGGAUUGGUGUCUGCCCA
rnacentral:lncRNA from 1 species